GUCGAGCGAACGGACGAGAAGCUUGCUUCUCUGAUGUUAGCGGCGGACGGGUGAGUAACACGUGGAUAACCUACCUAUAAGACUGGGAUAACUUCGGGAAACCGGAGCUAAUACCGGAUAAUAUUUUGAACCGCAUGGUUCAAAAGUGAAAGACGGUCUUGCUGUCACUUAUAGAUGGAUCCGCGCUGCAUUAGCUAGUUGGUAAGGUAACGGCUUACCAAGGCAACGAUGCAUAGCCGACCUGAGAGGGUGAUCGGCCACACUGGAACUGAGACACGGUCCAGACUCCUACGGGAGGCAGCAGUAGGGAAUCUUCCGCAAUGGGCGAAAGCCUGACGGAGCAACGCCGCGUGAGUGAUGAAGGUCUUCGGAUCGUAAAACUCUGUUAUUAGGGAAGAACAUAUGUGUAAGUAACUGUGCACAUCUUGACGGUACCUAAUCAGAAAGCCACGGCUAACUACGUGCCAGCAGCCGCGGUAAUACGUAGGUGGCAAGCGUUAUCCGGAAUUAUUGGGCGUAAAGCGCGCGUAGGCGGUUUUUUAAGUCUGAUGUGAAAGCCCACGGCUCAACCGUGGAGGGUCAUUGGAAACUGGAAAACUUGAGUGCAGAAGAGGAAAGUGGAAUUCCAUGUGUAGCGGUGAAAUGCGCAGAGAUAUGGAGGAACACCAGUGGCGAAGGCGACUUUCU
rnacentral:rRNA from 1 species